rnacentral:tRNA from 1 species
ACUUUAUUAGUAUAAUAUAAUACAUUUUAUUUUCUAUAAAAAGAUUUAUUUAAUAAAGUC